AAGUCGAGCGAACAGAUAAGGAGCUUGCUCCUUUGACGUUAGCGGCGGACGGGUGAGUAAUACGUGGGUAACCUACCUAUAAGACUGGAAUAACUCCGGGAAACCGGGGCUAAUGCCGGAUAACAUUUAGAACCGCAUGGUUCUAAAGUGAAAGAUGGUUUUGCUAUCACUUAUAGAUGGACCCGCGCCGUAUUAGCUAGUUGGUAAGGUAAUGGCUUACCAAGGCAACGAUACGUAGCCGACCUGAGAGGGUGAUCGGCCACACUGGAACUGAGACACGGUCCAGACUCCUACGGGAGGCAGCAGUAGGGAAUCUUCCGCAAUGGGCGAAAGCCUGACGGAGCAACGCCGCGUGAGUGAUGAAGGGUUUCGGCUCGUAAAACUCUGUUAUUAGGGAAGAACAAACGUGUAAGUAACUGUGCACGUCUUGACGGUACCUAAUCAGAAAGCCACGGCUAACUACGUGCCAGCAGCCGCGGUAAUACGUAGGUGGCAAGCGUUAUCCGGAAUUAUUGGGCGUAAAGCGCGCGUAGGCGGUUUCUUAAGUCUGAUGUGAAAGCCCACGGCUCAACCGUGGAGGGUCAUUGGAAACUGGGAGACUUGAGUGCAGAAGAGGAAAGUGGAAUUCCAUGUGUAGCGGUGAAAUGCGCAGAGAUAUGGAGGAACACCAGUGGCGAAGGCGACUUUCUGGUCUGUAACUGACGCUGAUGUGCGAAAGCGUGGGGAUCAAACAGGAUUAGAUACCCUGGUAGUCCACGCCGUAAACGAUGAGUGCUAAGUGUUAGGGGGUUUCCGCCCCUUAGUGCUGCAGCUAACGCAUUAAGCACUCCGCCUGGGGAGUACGACCGCAAGGUUGAAACUCAAAGGAAUUGACGGGGACCCGCACAAGCGGUGGAGCAUGUGGUUUAAUUCGAAGCAACGCGAAGAACCUUACCAAAUCUUGACAUCCUUUGACCACUCUAGAGAUAGAGUUUUCCCCUUCGGGGGACAAAGUGACAGGUGGUGCAUGGUUGUCGUCAGCUCGUGUCGUGAGAUGUUGGGUUAAGUCCCGCAACGAGCGCAACCCUUAAACUUAGUUGCCAGCAUUUAGUUGGGCACUCUAGGUUGACUGCCGGUGACAAACCCGAAGAAAGGUGGGGAUGACCUCCAAUCAUCAUGCCCCUUAAAAUUUGG
rnacentral:rRNA from 1 species